rnacentral:rRNA from 1 species
GACGUAGGGCGCGAGCGUUGUCCGGAUUUAUUGGGCGUAAAGAGCUCGUAGGCGGCUUGUUGCGUCAGCUGUGAAAACCCGCAGCUCAACUGUGGGCCUGGCAGCCGGAUACGGGCGGGCUAGGAUUCGGUGAGGGGAGACUGGGAAUUCCUGGUGUAGCGGUGAAAUGCGCAGAUAUCUGGAGGAACACCGGUGGCGAAGGCGGCAUCCUGGACCGACAUGACGCUGGCGGCGCGAAAGCCAGGG